rnacentral:rRNA from 1 species
GACGAACGCUGGCGGCGUGCUUAACACAUGCAAGUCGAACGGAAAGGCCCUGCUUUUGUGGGGUGCUCGAGUGGCGAACGGGUGAGUAACACGUGAGUAACCUGCCCUUGACUUUGGGAUAACAUCAGGAAACUGGGGCUAAUACCGGAUAGGAGCUCCUGCUGCAUAGUGGUGGUUGGAAAGUGUCGGCGGUUGGGUAUGGACUGGCUGCUUAUCAGCUUGUUUGUGGGGUAGUGGCUUACCAAGCCUUUGACGGGUAGCCCGCCUGAGAGGGUGACCGGCCACAAUGCGACUGAGAGACGCAGCAGAAGGCUACGGUCGGCAGCAGGGGGGAAUAUUGCACAGUGGGCGGGCGCCAGAUGUAGAAACGCCGGGUGCGGGAUGACGGCUUUCGGGUUGUAAACAGAUUUCGCCUGAGACGAAGAGUGAGUGACGGUAAUGGGUAAAGAAGCACCGGCUAACUACGUG